rnacentral:rRNA from 1 species
UACAGAGACCUCAAGCGUUAUCCGGAAUCAUUGGGCGUAAAGCGUACCGAUAGGUGGUUUAACAAGCCAGAAGUGAAAUCUCCGAGCUUAACUCGGAAUCUGUCUUUUGGAACUGUUAAACUAGAGGGGCAAAGAGGAAGCUGGAACGAACGGUGUAGUAGUGAAAUGCGUUGAUAUCGUUCGGAACACCAAUAGCGAAGGCGGGCUUCUGGGUGCCUCCUGACACUUCUAGGACGAAAGCGUGGGUAGCGAAUGGG